rnacentral:rRNA from 1 species
UUUGGCGGUAAUAUAUUUUUUUAGAGGAACCUGUUUUUUAAUCGAUGAACCACGAUACUUUCUACCUUUUAUAUUUAUUUGUAUACCUCUAUUUAGAAUGUUUUUUUAGGAUAAUUUUCUUUUUCUUUAUAAGUUUAAUUUUAGGUCAAGGNGCAGUUUUUUUUAGGUAAACAUGGGUUAUUUUUUUAAUAAACAACUANUUAAGUUGUUUUGAAUUUGGAUUUAACAGUAAAUUUAAUUAAUUAAUUAUUUUGAA